ACGGGUGAGUAAUGCAUAGGAAUCUGCCUUGUAGUGGGGGAUAACCCGGGGAAACUCGGGCUAAUACCGCAUAAUCUUUACGAAGCAAAGUGGGGGACCGUAAGGCCUCACGCUAUAAGAUGAGCCUAUGUUGGAUUAGCUAGUUGGUGGGGUAAAGGCCUACCAAGGCGACGAUCCAUAGCUGGUCUGAGAGGAUGAUCAGCCACACUGGGACUGAGACACGGCCCAGACUCCUACGGGAGGCAGCAGUGGGGAAUAUUGGACAAUGGGCGAAAGCCUGAUCCAGCAACGCCGUGUGUGUGAAGAAGGCCUUCGGGUUGUAAAGCACUUUUAGUUGGGAAGAAAAGCUUAUGGGUAAUAUCCAUAAGUGCUGACGUUACCAACAGAAAAAGCACUGGCUAACUCUGUGCCAGCAGCCGCGGUAAUACAGAGAGUGCAAGCGUUAAUCGGAAUUACUGGGCGUAAAGCGCACGUAGGUGGAAUUUUAAGUCGGAUGUGAAAUCCCCGGGCUUAACCUGGGAAUUGCAUUCGAUACUGCAAUUCUAGAGUAUGGUAGAGGGAAGUGGAAUUUCCGGUGUA
rnacentral:rRNA from 1 species